rnacentral:lncRNA from 1 species
GUUUUUUUGUUUUUUUUUUUUUUUUUUGCACAUGGAUGUUAAUUGUUCUAAUACCAUUCGUUGAAAAUGUGAUCUUUCUUCACUCAAUUGGGUUUUUUUUUUUUUGUCUUGGACAAAAAUUGACUGGACCUUAUUGAUGUGGGUCUAUUUCUGGACUUUUUAUUCUAUUCUACUGAUUUGUAAGUCUAUGCUUUUAUCAUUUUACAAUAUUGUAGCCUUGAAGUAAAUCUUAUAAUUGGAAAACGUGAAUACUCCAACUUUAUUCUCCUUUUAUUUAUUUUGGUUAUACUAAUUCUUGUGCCUUACCAUGUAAAUUUGAGAAUCAGCUUGGCUAUACAGAAAAGUAUUUUUUGUUUGAAAUAGUUGCAAUUUGAGGAGAAUUGAUGACUGUACUGGGUCUUCCAGUCCAUGAAUACAAAUGUCUUCCAACUUUUUCUUCUUUUUUAUUAUUCUUAGAAUUUUUAUUUUUAUAUCAGAGAAUAGUUGAUUACAGUGUCGUGUUAGUUGAUCUUUGAUUUCCUUCAUUGGUGUUUCACAGUUUUCAGCAUGUAGAUCAUACACAUGUGAAAGUUCUGUUAGGGUUAUACCUACUUUUUUUGUGAGAGGGAGCUAUUAUAAAUGGUAUUGUAUUUUUUAUUUUGUAUUCCAAUUAUCCAUUGAUAGUACACAGGAACAAGAUUCAUUUUUUGCAUGUUGUCCUUGUUCUGUGACUUAUCAUACCAACCUGUUAGUUCUGGCAACCAGUUUUUUUUGUUUUUGUUCUUGUAUAUUCCUUGGGACUAUCUUUGUAGAAAAUUACAUUUCCUUUUUUUUUUUUUUGACUUAUUGCACUGAUUAAGAUUUCCAGUACUAUUUUCAAUACAAAUGGUGAGAGUAAGCAUCCCUGACUUGCUUCCUUCCAGUUUUAUUGCGGAAAUCAUUCAGUAAUUCAAAGUGAGUUUUGCAGCUAACAUCAUUUUGCAGAUCAGAAGGAGAUUAUAUGGAGUUUCAAGCAACAACUAGGAUUUUUAUUUCUUCUGAAAGUUAUCUUUAAAUGGUUUCAGAAGUAAAACAAUGAGUGGCACUUGUACAGACAUUUCAACAAGAAUCACAGCUAAGUUCAUACAUGUGCCUACAAGAACAACUGUUAUCACUGCUACCCUACGUACAACAGUUAUAAGAUGUCAUGAAUUUUAAGAUGCAUUCUGAUUUUUAAAAUGUUAAAAAGUGAAAAAUGUGUAUCUUGGAGCUGGUAAUAUGUAGCAUUUUUUAUAACAUGCUUUUAGAAAAUUUACCCUAUUUCAUGAGCAAUUUCUCAGGUCAUAAAAAUUAUUCACAGGCAUAUAAUUUUAAUAGUGUCUAAUAUUUCAUCAUAAGGGUCUGUCAGAACUGAUUUAAUCAGUAUAAUGUAUUAAUAUUUUAUUUUGUUUCUAAUUUUUACAAUUACGUAUGAUAAAACGAGCGUUCUUAGCAAAGCACUUUGCAUUUAUAAUUAUAUGGCUAGAAAUGGAGUUGGUCAAAAGAUAAUAUGUUGAAUUUUUAAGCUUCUUGUCUUUCCAAGGGUAUGCUUUUAUACCUAGAGAAAGCAGAAUGAUUCCUGAGGAAAUGUAUCAAUGCUAAAAAUAUAAACAUGUAUUCUAAGGAGAACUUUAGUUUCCACAUCAUGAAAUACAAAUAAAAUUUAAGUGAUCAGAUUUUUCUUGUUCAUCUGCACAAGAAUAGAGUACAGGCUGGGGAUUAUUCUGUUUUCCCAUAAAGUUUACUGGUAAGAUGAGAAAAAAUCAAUUUCAAAACAAUCCUCUUUUAACAUAUCUCCACUGAAGGACUGUUGCCACAAAUUGUAGGCUCAAAUGGAAUGUUUACUGGAUAAAGCAUAAGGAUUUUUAUGUGACACAAAGAAUUUAAUAGGAAGAAAACACAAAUUUUGCAUGGUAAAAUAUUGUAAAAAUUUUAUUUCUACUCCAAUUUGUAAACCAAAGUAUUCCAUUAACUCCAUUUCGUCACUAUAUGGGUAACUACGGGAAAGUUUGUUAACGUGCCUUGGAUAGGAAUAUAAGUUGUAUUGGAGUUAAAACAAAUAUGUGUUGCAAUACAAUUUGCUCCAAUGUUUAGCUUAGCUUAGAAACAGAAAAUGUUAACACAGUAAUUUCAAACUGUUGAUACUGGUUUGUAUUUUGGGGGCCAGCACUGAAAUUGAUAUAAACAAAAAGUACUUACAUUGGACUUUUAAUUCAUUCUGUCUUGUGGUUCAAGCUGCUGGCUGUUUGAAUGAGGAAGUAAGAGAGAAGAGAUUAGGGAUAAGUGACAGCCACAUGUAUGCAUGUCUUAGUAAGUGUAAUUAUAAAUUACAUAGAAAUUGAAUAAAGUUACACAUUUUUAGAACGGGAAAUGUACACAGAUGCUAUAUGGUAUUGUAGAGAAAGCCUGGGAUUGAGUUAGGAAUCUGACACUUGCAAACUGUCUGACCUCACAUGGUUUCAUCCAUGGUGCAGGGGUCUCUGAUGGAUUAGCAAUUUGUUCAAAUCAGUAGAUAAUUAAUGGGAACGUUUCUACUUUUAAGUCUUUUAUAACAUUAUAGACAAGUGAUUUAUUAUUAAUGAAGGGCAAAAUAUUCUGCUUUACUACUUAACAGUGUGACCUUGAGCAAAUAAUUUAACUUUACAAGUUUUUUUUUUACUUGAAAUAUUAAUAUUUACCCCAUAAAGUUGUUUUAAGGGUGAAAUGAAAUAAUUUUGUGAAAGGUGUGUCAUAAGGAAACAAGAUUAGGACACUUUCAGAUGCAUUUUCAUUAAAGGUACCCUUUAUUUAGUUGGCAUAGGGUAGUGAUUUGCAAAUGUUGGCCAAGCUUCUCUCCAUAGCAGUGGAGGAGGGCAUUUAUCAGCUUAGGCUUUACAAAGAUGACCAAAGGAUGAUUUGAAUUCGAUUAUGGAGAAUGUCCCUAGAAUCAGGAAAGCAAUCUUUAUAGGGAAAAAUAAUACAUAUGUACUAAAUUUCUAGAUAUUAUUCAGCUGUCUCUAGGCCAUAGGGUGACGUUAAUAACCGAUCCCUCAUACCAAGCAGAAAAGAAGUUUUUGCAGAAAGGCUUCAGUCGUGGUUACAUACUAAUUCUCAUGCAGAUUUUCUCUCUCUACUGCUGAGUACUUCUUUAACAUCUAAGGGUAGUCAUGCUUUUCCAUGAUAGUUACUUUAUUGUUCAUGAGUAUUCUUAUUCUUCUGGAUGAUUUCAUUUGAACUGAUUGAUCAGUUGGCCUGUUGUCCAAAAUUCUGUUUUUAAUCAUGCAAUCAUGCUGUGUUAAUUUUUUUCCUUCGGCUUUUUAGGGCUACACUCAUAGCAUAUGGAAAUUCCCAGGCUAGCGGUUGAAUUGGAGCUACAGCCUCUAGCCUACACCACAGCCACAGCAAUGUGGGAUCUGAACCGUGUCUGUGACCUACACCAUAGCUCAGGGCAACUACAGAUCCAUAACCCACUGAGUGAGGCCAGGGAUCAAACCCAUAUCCUCAUGGAUCCUAGUUGGGUUUGUUAACCGCUGAGCCAAGAAGGGAAGUCCCUAUGCUAAUUCUUUCACUGCUAUUUCUAAAAAUUUCUCUGUUCCCUUUCUGGUACAUGACCCUCACAGAACCUUCAAAUGCAGGUGAUGCAAUAUGUUUCACUCAUGCAGCAAUGCUGCAGGUGUAUUCGAACGGCCCAGCUGGCUAAGGAAGCCAGGGUUUCAUUGGCCUCCGUGCGUUUUGGUUAGAAGAAAAGAAGAGGUCUCAGGACCCUCUAGGACCCUCUCAACUCCAAAGCCUUCCACCCGAGGGUUAUGUCUAAUGUGACAAAAUCAAAUAAAUGCUCCUUUAGUUACAUUUCCUUAUCACCCCAUUUAACCCUUUAAUCUCCCUGUGCACAUGGCUUCAAAAGCACUUUGGAAAUUAAAAUUCAGUAGACAAAUAUGAAUUGCACUGUGAUUUUAGUUUGAAAUUAGACCCUAUCUCUGCUGCAUCUAAGACCUUAAGACAAAAGGUGCCAUUUCCAUUCUUAAGGAAGGUGUGAAGCAACCUAAGCAGGACUCCAUGUGGGUUGCGUGAGAGUGUUAUCCUGUGGACAUGUCCUAAGUCCUGCCCCAAGAGGCCACCUGGAGGAUGAGGAGGCUUAGUCCACAGGGUUUUACUGCAGAUGGCCUGAGACCAAAGAGUGAUUCUUAAUGUUCAGCCAGAGUGAACUGCCAGGAGAGAUCACCUGUGAUGGGGGGGAGGGGGUGUUCUCCAAAGAACUCACAGAAGCAUCCAGAAGAGAUGGAACCCAGAGAGUACUGGCAGCUCAUCCAAGGAGACCAGUCAAAUAAGGCCUUUUCUUCCCCAUGCCCAUCUCCACUCUCCAUUUCUAGAGGAAUCAAAAGCCUUGGUUCUCAAGCUAAGGGAGGAAGCUGACAACGCAAAAUAGCGAAAUAGAGAAGGAACCCGCCACACCCCCCUUUUUCACUGAAGACCCUGCUGGAGGAAGGAGAGAUUUUGAUUUUAAAUGAAAUGAAGUAUUUUGAUUACUGUGUAUGAUAUUUUAUAAUUAAUGAAAUAUUAUAGUUUUGUGACUAGCAAAAAACAAAGAAAAUUUCACUAAUAGCGAGUGACCAGAAAAGUCAUGGGCUGUGUCCUUUUUCAUGAAUGGUAUGAGAAAGAAUUCACCCUGUAGAGCAGGUGUGACCGGGCUGUGGGUGAGCAGGGGAAACAAGGUGGUUUUCUGACCCCGUAAGCUCCUGACCCACUGAUACAAAGCAGUGCCUUAAGCACCAGGAGCUGUAAAAGAUAAGCAAUGCCGAGGAUAUUGGCGCAAAUGCACCCAUCUUCUUUCUCCCCCAGGCACAGCUCUCACAAGCGUAAGCACAAUGGUUACCAGCAAGCAGGACUGGUUAGGAGCAACGCGAGGUGGAUAAUCUGCUGAUGAUACCUCAGCAAAUGAGGGCCAGGCAAUAAACCUAUCGCAAGCACCUCCAGGAAUGCCGCGUCCUGUUCUCAUUUGAUUUUUUUAAAGACUGUUUGUUGGCCUCAGAAAUGAUUUCUUUUGAAAUGAUUUCACAAAUACCAAGGGCAAGACCUCAUUUAGAUGGAGAAAAAUCUUCCCAAAGCCCAAUGGAACAUUCCUCUCAGGGCUGUGAUUUCUGCUGAAGAAAGGGAGGUGUCUGAGAUAAGCAGAGCAGACUGUGUUGGAAGAAAACAAACGUAUUUGUUGUUCCCCUGGUGCAUAUAUUUCCUAAUAUAGUCCUGGACCUUGAGAACUCUGGCUGCCCCUGCCCUGGCAGAGAAACUCAGAGCGCUGUCCUGUGGAACCCAGAGGCCUGUGCCCAGUGAGAAGGAUGGUCCUGGAUGGCCUGGCACAGGGGUGGCACUUCUCCAGGUCCAGGGGAUGAGGGCAGUACACUCUCACAUCCCUGCAGAGGUUGAACUGAAUCAACACCCACCUCACUUCUGACUGGGUCCCCUGGGCCUCUAAAGAGGGAAAGCUCACUGUGUUCAGAUGCAUUCCUAAAGAGUACCGUCCACCUAAUUUAACUGUAGGCACUGGGAUGUGUUCAGCAUUCACGGACCGCCUGCCAAAUCAGAGGCUUUGCUGGGCACUGGGAAUAAAAGAAAAAUAAAAACAACCUGUAGUGUUCACAAAAGCAGAGAGGUGACAACAAUAAAAUUGGGCAUUAUAGAGAAUUAUUUUUAUUGGAGUGUAGUUCAUUUACAGUGUUGCAGUGACUCAGUUAUACACACACCUACAUAUAUAUAUUCUUUUUCACAUUAUUUUUGAUUGUAGUUUAUUAUAAGAUAUUGAAUACAGUUUCCUGUGCUAUAUAUAUAGCAGGACCUUGUUUAUCAAUUGUAGAGAAUUUAAUUAUAAUAGUAAAACAGAUUAAAAAUGGGUCUGCUUUGUAUUGUCAUGACAUACCAGCAAUUCUAAGUAACAGUGGUGACAAAAUACCUCUCCCUGAAAAAAAUAAUUAGUUGCUCUAAAUUUUAAACAAUUUUUGCAACUACCAUAGGAUUUUAAUUAUCUUCGUAUAGUACAUAUAAAAGUAUAUAUUUACAAUUUAUUGUUUAUUCAUAAAUAUAUACUACAUAAUGUAAAAUUUUAUAUAUUUCUAUAACUGUUUAUAUUAUAUAUUACACAUAGUAUGUAAAUAUUUAUUAUAACAAAUUUUAAAUAUAUACUUAAUAUAAGUAAUAUAAAAUCCCACAUAUGUAUAUAUAUUUGUAAGCUUCAAAUGUAUACAUUUUUAUCACUUUUCCUUUAAUGAGCAUUUUACAUACAUUAAUUCAGAGAACUCCCUUGACACACAUAUGUUCAGCUACAUGUAUUUCUUUAGAAAAUAGAUGCUUAAUGGUUCAGAAUCGUUGGCAUUCAUUUGUGUCAAGCCUCUGUGUUUAAUAGUAGAUUUUAAAUAAUAAUGACAAUGAGUUUUGAAGACAAAGAAACAGUGAUUUUUAUUUAUUUUAAAAUGCUUAAAUCAAAGACUUCAAGUUCAGGCUAUAAGGUGAGAUGUGAUCUUUUUGUUAGGUAAGUCACAGCUUGGUUCAUACAUUAAUAUUUUACUAAAUGUGAAUGAUUCAGAUUGAAAUUUAUUCUCUAAAGUUGUUGAUUCUGGAGUUCCCAUCGUGGCUCAGCGGAAAUGAAUCUGACUAGUAUCUAUGAGGACAUAGGUUUGAUCCCUGGCCUUGCUGGGAUCUGGCAUUGCUGUGGCUGUGGUGCAAGCUGACAGUUGUAGCUCCAAUUCAGCCCCUAGCCUGGGAACCUCCAUAGGCUGUGGGUGAGGCC